GGAUAUGAAGGUGAUCUGACUGUGACAUCUGAUCGCCAGGGUUGAGUCGGCUGAUCUGGCUGGCUAGAUGGGUGUCCCCAUCCUCCCUCACCGCUCCAUGUGCGUCCCUCCUGACGCUGCGUACUGGGUCAAAGAGGACGGCCUUCCCCUACUGGUCUUUGGUCGAAGGUAUAUGAAUAGGUGCACUCCCCUGCUAGAACCUCCAAACAAGCUCUCAAAGAUUUUAUUUUAGAGCUGGGUGGUGGCACACCUGGUUGAUCACACG
rnacentral:snRNA from 1 species